GAUGAACGCUGGCGGCGUGCCUAAUACAUGCAAGUCGAGCGAACAGACGAGGAGCUUGCUCCUCUGACGUUAGCGGCGGACGGGUGAGUAACACGUGGAUAACCUACCUAUAAGACUGGGAUAACUUCGGGAAACCGGAGCUAAUACCGGAUAAUAUAUUGAACCGCAUGGUUCAAUAGUGAAAGACGGUUUUGCUGUCACUUAUAGAUGGAUCCGCGCCGCAUUAGCUAGUUGGUAAGGUAACGGCUUACCAAGGCGACGAUGCUUAGCCGACCUGAGAGGGAGAUCGGCCACACUGGAACUGAGACACGUCCCAGACUCCGACGGGAGGCAGCAGUAGGGAAUCUUCCGCAAUGGGCGAGAGCCUGACGGAGCAACGCCGCGUGAGUGAUGAAGGUCUUCGGAUCGUAAAACUCUGUUAUUAGGGAAGAACAAAUGUGUAAGUAACUAUGCACGUCUUGACGGUACCUAAUCAGAAAGCCACGGCUAACUACGUG
rnacentral:rRNA from 1 species